rnacentral:rRNA from 1 species
GAAUUUUAUUAAUAUUGAUUUGAGUAAUUUAUUUAUUUUUAUAUUAAUUUUGUUGGGGGGACAUUUAAAUUAAAUUAACUUUAAGAUUUAAAUAACAUUGAUUGAUGGAUUAAUUUGAUGAAUUGUUUUUAAUAUUAUUAGAAUAAAUUACCUUAGGGAUAACAGCAUUAUAUCUUUGGAGAGUUCAUAUUGAUAAAGAUGUUUGU